GGGGAAACUGGGGAUAAUACCCUAUAGGCUAUAGAUGCUGGAAUGCUCUGUAGUUGAAAGGUCCGCCGCCGUAGGAUGGGUCUGCGGCCGAUUAGGUUGUUGUUGGGGUAACGGCCCAACAAGCCUGUAAUCGGUACGGGUUGUGGGAGCAAGAGCCCGGAGAUGGAUUCUGAGACACGAAUCCAGGCCCUACGGGGCGCAGCAGGCGCGAAAACUUUACAAUGCGGGAAACCGUGAUAAGGGAACUCUGAGUGCCCGUUAAAUCGGGCUGUCCAUCAGUUUAAAUCACUGGUGAAGAAAGGGCCGGGCCAGACCGGUGCCCGCCGCCGCGGAACA
rnacentral:rRNA from 1 species